rnacentral:rRNA from 1 species
AAUCAACGCUGGCGGCGUGCCUAACACAUGCAAGUCGAACGCGAAAGCCCGCAAGGGUAAGUAGAGUGGCGCACGGGUGAGUAACACGUGGACAACCUGCCUUCGAGUGGGGAAUAACCUUCCGAAAGGAGGGCUAAUACCGCAUAACACCUCGGGACACAAGUUUUGGGGUUGAAAAGAGCAAUUUGCUCGAAGAGGGGUCCGCGCCUGAUUAGCUAGUUGGUGAGGUAACGGCUCACCAAGGCUUCGAUCAGUAGCCGUCCUGAGAGGGAGCACGGCCACACUGGAACUGAGACACGGUCCAGACUCCUACGGGAGGCAGCAGUGGGGAAUUUUUGGCAAUGGGCGAAAGCCUGACCAAGCAACGCCGCGUGGGUGAUGAAGUAUCUUGGUACGUAAACCCUUUC